rnacentral:lncRNA from 10 species
AGAGCUGCAUGGAUUUGGAGUCUUAUCCUCACUAGAAGAGAGGAAUGCACCCAAUGGAAAAGAGGAGAGCAACCAAAGUCUAAGCUAAGAGCAUAGUUUCAGAAAGUAUUUCCUCUGGCAUUCAUAGUUUUUGUGGACACACCUGAUACCUGAAAAAAACAAUCUGGGAAAAUCUAGGCUGUAACCAGCUCCCCGUUACCCUCAAUGAUAUCAUGGUGAGAUAUCCAAAACAUCAUUCACUGUUAAAUCCAGGAAACAUCCUUGGAUUUGGAAAUUAUGGAAGGAGAAAUUAUUAUUGGAACUGUACUGAACCUUUAGCUCAACAUAUUAAUUUGAUGCUCUUUAAAUGGAUACACACAUUGGGUUGUGCCCUUCACACUAAUUCUGGACUUUGGCCCGUGAGGCAGAAGCUGACUUGAUGAAAGGAGAGAUUUGGAAAACCUCUUGCUGCCUUUGGAAUUUUGCUGCUGCAUGAGCAGACUGAAACGGUCUGUUGGAUUAUGCAGUUACAUAACCUGCUGACAUGAGUGUGAAGCAAUGUAUCCUGAACCAGCCACCCUGAGCUGACCUGCCAACCGACUGCAGAUGAUGAGUGAACGAGAUUAGCCAAGCCCAGAUUAGGUCAAAAGUACAAGAAAGAAGAAUGUUCAAAACAGAUACAAAGCUAUGAGCAUGUAUAUGCAGAGGUAGAUCAACCUGGAAGCUACUACAAUAGUCCAGGUGAGACAUCAAGAGGACAACUGAGGAAAUAAAGUGGACAUGGAGAAGAGGGAGAAGAUUCAACUAUUUAUACAUAGCAUUAGCAAAAUGACCUAAUCCAGAAAUAAAAAGGAAAAAAAAAUCAGUUUGAUGAGGCAGGAUACCAUGCUGUGGAGACCCAUUUGGCAAGAAACUAAAGGCAGCCACCAUCCAAAUGCUAGGAAAAAGCUACAGCUUUCUGUCUGAUGGCAAAGGAGACACUGAAUCCAGUCAACAAUAACAGGAGUUUGAUGGAAGAUCCAUUCCCCAGUGGAGCCUCAGAUAACACCUCAAGUCUGGCCAACAUUCUGACUGUAAACUUAUGAGAGACCCUGAAGCAGAGAAUUCAGCUAAUCCAUGCCUGGGUU